rnacentral:rRNA from 1 species
AGUGAACGCUGGCGGUAGGCCUAACACAUGCAAGUCGAACGGCAGCACAGUAAGAGCUUGCUCUUACGGGUGGCGAGUGGCGGACGGGUGAGGAAUACAUCGGAAUCUACUUUUUCGUGGGGGAUAACGUAGGGAAACUUACGCUAAUACCGCAUACGACCUACGGGUGAAAGCAGGGGAUCUUCGGACCUUGCGCGAUUGAAUGAGCCGAUGUCGGAUUAGCUAGUUGGCGGGGUAAAGGCCCACCAAGGCGACGAUCCGUAGCUGGUCUGAGAGGAUGAUCAGCCACACUGGAACUGGGACACGGUCCAGACUCCUACGAGAGGCAGCAGUGGGGAAUAUUGGACAAUGGGCGCAAGCCUGAUCCAGCCAUACCGCGUGGGUGAAGAAGGCCUUCGGGUUGUAAAGCCCUUUUGUUGGGAAAGAAAAGCAGCAGGUUAAUACCCCGCUGUUCUGACGGUACCCAAAGAAUAAGCACCGGCUAACUUCGUG